rnacentral:rRNA from 1 species
UUACGGGAGGCAGCAGUGGGGAAUAUUGCGCAAUGGGGGAAACCCUGACGCAGCGACGCCGUGUGAGGGAAGAAGGCUUUCGGGUCGUAAACCUCUGUCGGGAGGGAAGAACCUUCCAGGCCUGAAUAAGUCCUGGAACUGACGGUACCUCCAAAGGAAGCACCGGCUAACUCCGUGCCAGCAGCCGCGGUAAUACGGAGGGUGCAAGCGUUAAUCGGAAUCACUGGGCGUAAAGCGCGCGUAGGCGGUCUUUUAAGUCGGACGUGAAAGCCCUCGGCUCAACCGGGGAACUGCGUUCGAAACUGGGAGACUUGAGUCCUGGAGAGGGUGGCGGAAUUCCGGGUGUAGGAGUGAAAUCCGUAGAUAUCCGGAGGAACACCGGUGGCGAAGGCGGCCACCUGGACAGGUACUGACGCUGAGGCGCGAAAGCGUGGGGAGCAAACAGGAUUAGAUACCCGGGUAGUC